UACGUAGGGGGCAAGCGUUGUCCGGAAUCAUUGGGCGUAAAGAGCGUGUAGGCGGCCCGAUAAGUCCGCUGUGAAAGUCCAGGGCUCAACCCUGGGAUGGCGGUGGAUACUGUCGGGCUCGAGUCCGGAAGAGGAGUGUGGAAUUCCUGGUGUAGCGGUGAAAUGCGCAGAUAUCAGGAGGAACACCAAUGGCGAAGGCAGCACUCUGGGACGUGACUGACGCUGAGACGCGAAAGCGUGGGGAGCAAACAGG
rnacentral:rRNA from 1 species